rnacentral:rRNA from 1 species
ACGCCUAAUACAUGCAAGUCGAACGAAGUAGCAAUACUUAGUGGCAGACGGGUGAGUAACAUGUGGGUAUCUUCCCUUUGGUGAGGAAUAACACGAGGAAACUUGUGCUAAUACCUCAUAAGUCUUUACGGAGAAAGCUUUAUGCGCCAAUGGAUGAGCCCGCACUUGAUUAGUUUGUUGGUGGGGUAAUGGCCUACCAAGACAAUGAUCAAUAGCUGAUUUGAGAGGAUGAUCAGCCACAUUGGGACUGAGACACGGCCCAAACUCCUACGGGAGGCAGCAGUAGGGAAUCUUGCACAAUGGAGGAAACUCUGAUGCAGCGAUGCCGCGUGAGUGAAGAAGGCCUUUGGGUUGUAAAGCUCUUUCGUCGGGGAAGAAAAUGACUGUACCCGAAUAAGAAGGUCCGGCUAACUUCGUGCCAGCAGCCGCGGUAAUACGAAGGGACCUAGCGUAGUUCGGAAUUACUGGGCUUAAAGAGUUCGUAGGUGGUUAAAAAAGUUGGUGGUGAAAGCCCAGAGCUUAACUCUGGAACGGCCAUCAAAACUUUUUAGCUAGAGUAUGAUAGAGGAAAGCAGAAUUUCUAGUGUAGAGGUGAAAUUCGUAGAUAUUAGAAAGAAUACCAAUUGCGAAGGCAGCUUUCUGGAUCAUUACUGACACUGAGGAACGAAAGCAUGGGUAGCGAAGAGGAUUAGAUACCCUCGUAGUCCAUGCCGUAAACGAUGUGUGUUAGAUGUUGGAAAUUUAUUUUCAGUAUCGCAGCGAAAGCAAUAAACACACCGCCUGGGGAGUACGACCGC